UACGGGGGGGGCAAGCGUUGUUCGGAAUUACUGGGCGUAAAGGGCUCGUAGGUGGCCAACUAAGUCAGACGUGAAAUCCCUCGGCUUAACCGGGGAACUGCGUCUGAUACUGGAUGGCUUGAGUUUGGGAGAGGGAUGCGGAAUUCCAGGUGUAGCGGUGAAAUGCGUAGAUAUCUGGAGGAACACCGGUGGCGAAGGCGGCAUCCUGGACCAACACUGACGCUGAGUGAGCGAAAGCCAGGGGAGCAAACGGGG
rnacentral:rRNA from 1 species